rnacentral:lncRNA from 1 species
AUUUUCUUCUUCGCAGAUCACUUUCUGAUUGUCUUUACAAGACAUCACCAUCAUAGAGGAGCUGAAUUUCUGAUGCACAUUAUGAAUCAUGGACUCCAUCUUCUUGCCAUUACUUUCCCACUCAUCUUUAAAAUGUUGCUGGAAAUUAUUCAUGGAGUCUAACUGCUGCUAAAAAUUUCCUAUGGAAGCCAGAGCCUUGUUCAACCUUGCUUCUGUUUCUUGACCUGCUCCUUCAAAGACUUAAAACAAGUAGUUUCAGCCAUGAUCAGGGGGUAUUCAAGCAGCCAGAGUCAACCGCUUCAUGCCAACAACUAUCAGGACUCAAACAUUGGAGUCCAAAUUAAGUAUUGAUUUGGGAGAAAAAUGAACUAGAGAAGGAAAGAAUUAGUUCAAGAAUGAGGAAUGAUCAGAACGAGAGAAGAAGAAAGAGAUGCAGG